AAUCAACGCUGGCGGCGCGCUUAACACAUGCAAGUCGCACGAGAAAGUGGAGCAAUCCAUGAGUAAAGUGGCGUACGGGUGAGUAACACGUGGAUAAUCUACCUCUUAGUGGGGAAUAACCCUGGGAAACCGGGGCUAAUACCGCAUAAGCUCGAGAGAGGAAAGCAGCAAUGCGCUGAGAGAGGAGUCCGCGGCCGAUUAGCUAGUUGGCAGGGUAAAAGCCUACCAAGGCAUAGAUCGGUAGCCGGCCUGAGAGGGCACACGGCCACACUGGAACUGAGACACGGUCCAGACUCCUACGGGAGGCAGCAGUGGGGAAUAUUGCACAAUGGGCGCAAGCCUGAUGCAGCGACGCCGCGUGAGGGAUGACGGCCUUCGGGUUGUAAACCUCUUUCAGUAGGGAAGAAGCGGAAGUGACGGUACCUGCAGAAGAAGCGCCGGCUAACUACGUGCCAGCAGCCGCGGUAAUACGUAGGGCGCAAGCGUUAUCCGGAAUUAUUGGGCGUAAAGAGCUCGUAGGCGGUUUGUCGCGUCUGCCGUGAAAAGUCCGGGGCUCAACUCCGGAUCUGCGGUGGGUACGGGCAGACUAGAGUGAUGUAGGGGAGACUGGAAUUCCUGGUGUAGCGGUGAAAUGCGCAGAUAUCAGAGGAACACCGGUGGCGAAGGCAGGUCUCUGGGCAUUAACUGACGCUGAGGAGCGAAAGCAUGGGGAGCGAACAGGAUUAGAUACCCUGGUAGUCCAUGCCGUAAACGUUGGGCACUAGGUGUGGGGGACAUUCCACGUUUUCCGCGCCGUAGCUAACGCAUUAAGUGCCCGCCUGGGAGUACGGCCGCAAGCUAAA
rnacentral:rRNA from 1 species